GCCGGCGUAGCUCAGGGGUAGAGCAGCUGAUUCGUAAUCAGCAGGUCGUUGGUUCAAUUCCUACCGCCGGCUCCA
rnacentral:tRNA from 1 species